UACGGCCUUGACACGGGCUGUUGGAACUCUAUUUUGUAUGUAUCCAAAACAUUAUAUUAUAUAGAGGCAUUUGCAGAUUCGAAAAUGGAUUCAGCAGAUUCGGCAUUGGUUUCAACCGGUCAUAGCAGGGUUAUUGUUCUAUAGCAUUUUGGCAGACAUAUUAACUUUAACUGAAGUGACGCCAUAUUUCAACAGUAACAACGUACUCCAGGAAGUUUUUUCAGGCUGUGACGUCUGCUAUAAAUGUGUAUCAGCUGUACCGAAUCAGAUGAUCGUCUUCCUUUGUGUCAGGAACUAACGGACAAGAUACGUAUCAACGUUUCAGUCAAGAAAGAUUACAUAGUAGUUAUCUAAUUCCCAGGAAUAUGACACCCAAACAGGAAGGCGGGCCAGAAAGAAAGCUAAAAUUAUUUGGAUCGCCGCUUCUAAAUGAACUCGUCUUUUUUACACUUUGCUUUUACUUUUGACAUUAAACGGAUCCAUACGUCAAGAGAAAAUCACUUGUAUUCGAGCUCCUGUGAUAUGCAUGUAUUUCAAAUACAUAAUUACGAUACAAGUAAUGAUUUUGCUUUUCUGGUAAAAAUCAACUCACAACACUAGUGUAUUUUCAUAUUACUUCAUUUUCAUAUUACUUAUCAGACCGUAAAAUUGAUCUUUUGUGUUUUCCCUUUAAUGAAAACAACAUGAUAGAAAUAACCGCUUUUACACAAAACGAAUCCUCACAGCAGCGUAAGUAUAGAUGGAUUAUAGUAACAAGGACAACACCAACAAAUGAAGGAACCAAGGCUUCGAAACGGUCUGUGGUAAAUAUGUACAAACACAAACUCUAAUUCCUACGAUCUUAACCAUGUUCGUUAUAGAUGGACGCUAUCUAAGCCGUGUGAAUUAUCUAUUAUUAUAGUAAGUGAUUAAAGUCUGUAAGAAAAUUUUAGCUACCAGACUCGGCUUGAGUCUGUUAAGAGGAAUUCUAUUUAUGAAGUAAAACUUAAGAAUAACAUGGUGUAAUAGCCAUAUUUCGUAUCUUGUAACUGGAUGGUAAUAUUUAAAUGAAAUUUGGUCACUUUAAAGACAUUCAAAAUUAAGAACUUUUCACCGAGAGAUUUUUCAAAUUUUAUCAUUUUUUGGGGUUAUAAUCGGUAUUGAAGUUACCAUUGUUGCCUAUGGGAAAUAUAUAAUUUCUUUGGUUAUAAGAAUCUGAACUAGAGUUUCGAGAAAAUUUUGCGGUAGAAAGUUACAUUAUAUGAUUCUGAUACAAAUAUCUAAAAGAAAUCUUGAAUUCCCCGUAGGGAGAAGAAGAAAAUCUUUUUUAUUUCUAGUUUUCAGGGGAGAUAACUCUUGAAAAACCAAAAUUAUCAGGGGAGGUAAUUUAAAGGAAAUUUUUGAGAACUUCUGUCACUAUAUAACUUCUCAAUAUUAACCUUAUUUCUGUCGUUUGACAUUUUUAAAGCUUACAUUAUCAAGUUGUAUGUGCGCUUUUGGUGAAAUUGAGGCUUAUUACACCAUGUUAUCCUUAAUGUACUGCAUGAUCCCAACGGACCAGCAAAAAAUGACACUGGAAACCAGAGUCUUUAUUAAAUUUAGCUUACUUUUUUUCUACACAGAAUAUUUUGUCAUGCAUUGUUCUUUACUUUUCAACACAUAAUUUAUGCACUUUUUAUUGCUGGGACUGUUGGAUGACUUUGUAUGAGAGAGGAUCACCUGUGUUUUUAAGAGAGAGGAACAGAAGAAAGAUCGAGGUUAGAUGACUGAGAGGCGGUCACAUCAGUCGACUAUAGAUGAAUUAAGAGACGGUCACAUCGAUCACGUGCAAAUAAUUAGGGAAAGGCUCUUAGCGAUAUAAGAAAAUUCCCGCUGGUACUGGGCCAGGGACUUGUAGGCAAAUUGUAGUUCUAUUACUACUUUAUUGUUGUUAGCAUGUGGGAGUUUUGGGGUGAUCUCACCAUUCGAGCAAUUUGCCGGAACUGUUCCCGUAUCAAAACAGUAGUUGCAAAUAUUUCUUGACAUAAAACAGCUAUAAAAUAUCAAUAGGUAUAUUAUGAAAAGCAGUAAAAAUAGGAAUUAUUUGGACCUAACUGGAAUAUGCUUCUAUCAUCUGGUGCCCUCACACAAAACAAUCAUUAGCAAGUAAAUGUUUUUUGCUUUAAUUCCAUAAGGUCACAUUUGAAAUAUGAUGUACACAAUUGCACGUAUAUUCCAGUCUAUGUGAUUGUAGAUGCAUAUUUCUGGUUAGUCUGGUAGGUGUUUCUAUGCAAACGGAAGACUGAGUGCUACAGUGUUGUGGUAGAUUUUGUAAAAGUGAGUCUGAAGUUCAAUCUCCGUUGUUCUAGAGACCACUAGCCCAGAUUUUCCUGCCCUGUAAUAACACCCAAAAGAAGGAUAUAUAAUCACGCUCAACACAUCCUAAGACGCACUCCUGGACCGUUUCAAACUUGUCAGUAUUGGUCCUUGUGCUGGAGCUCCAGUUUGUAAAAGCAUAUUCCAGUUGGUGUUGGACUAACGCCUAAUAUGUUCAUGGUUGUUAGUUAUGUUUCACUUUAUAUGAAUCUAACGGUUUUAUUAGUAUGAUACUUUCGUGUUAUAGUUUAGAUCACAAGAAAAAUGUAGUCCAAGAUAUUUAGGAGACGUCGUCAUAAAGACAGUAAAUACAUGUAUUCUAGUGACAGAUGAGGAUGAUUUGACAUUAAGAAGUCGCACUGUUUCUCGAAGAUCUGCACCUUGUCGGCGUAUUCUGUGAGGACUGAGUAUCUGUAAGUGAUUGGUAGUAAUGUAGGCCAUAGUAUCAUCUACAGAGGACCGAAGUUGGUUAAUAUAUAAAGGACAAAGUACAGGCAGCAAAAGUACAUUAAGUUUGGGGACCUCGGAAGUGACAGGUAUUUCUGCAGAACAAUCAACAGCUUCUGCCAGUCAGAAAGAACCAUGCCCAGUUUUAAAUUUGACGAGAGACGCCAUAUCUUCAAGAGGGCGAAGUAGUAUGAGAUGGUUAACGUUGCGGAAUAUUUUACAAAAUUCAUGAAAAUUAGGUCUCUAUUUGGUUGAUAGAAGCAAUUUUGCUGACGUUGAAUCAGCUGGUUUCGUAUAAAAGUCUCUUAUAGUCAUUCAGGAAGAACGAUGUGUUCUAAAGUUUUAAAAAGGUGAGUGAGAUAGGCCUACACUAGGCUGUUUCACUGGUGUUGUCCUUACUUAUAUACAGGUAAAACUACUUUGACAUUGGUCAAGUCACAUGAGGUGACACCAGACGACAGGGUUUUCUGAAAGAGGACAGUUGUGUCAUUAGUAAUUUCAUGCCUCGACUGACCUGAUCCGGUCCUGUUAAGUUUAAAAAAAUUGCAGAGGAUUUACAUUUCUUGGCUUUUGAAAACGUGUUUGCUUCAUUUGCUAGAGAAAAACAGUUGAAACUAUUUGCGAUCUAUGUGCAAAUUUGGUGUCAAAGUACACACUUUCUUGAAAAUGUGGGACUAUUUGUGAUUACCUCUAUAUCUGUCACAAGUAAAUCUUAACGCGCACAGUAGAGUGGAGCCCGCCAAAAGACGUCUGAAGAAAACAACAGCUAACUCAGACAUUCCUCAAAUCAGAAUAAAAAGCAUGGCACGUGAUGGCACAUGUGGCUGUUCUGUAUAGGGGAGAAGGGGUUCGGGAAAAUCUGAAAUCCUAUGAGUAAAACAAUGCAGUUUGAGUCACAGAAAAUAAGCAAGACUACAAGUGAUUUUUGGGCACAACAGUCAUACCAGUUUAGAAGAGUUUUGAAAAUAAUAUCACAACCAUGACAAAUACGGGCGUGUAUAUGGGUUUCGCCGUUGUCAGAAAAUGUUUGAAGAAAACAUCGACAGACUUGUACAGUUAUCUGUUCAAUGCAUCUUUUCCGUAACAUUUUUUUUCCGUCUCUUUACUAUAAAAAAAGAAGAAUUUAAGAAUUUUUCACUGGCUGAAGGUUCGGAUUGAAAUUGAUCGCUCGAGAGCAACUAUUAAGAU